GCAAGGCGAACGAGGGGAAGUGAAACAUCUCAGUACCCUUAGGAAAAGAAAUCAAUUGAGAUUCCCUCAGUAGCGGCGAGCGAACGGGGAUCAGCCCAUUAAGUUAUGUGUGUUUUAGUGGAACGCUCUGGGAAGUGCGAACGUAGAGGGUGAUAUUCCCGUACACGAAAGGGCACACAUAAUGAUGACGAGUAGGGCGAGGCACGUGAAACCUUGUCUGAAUAUGGGGGGACCAUCCUCCAAGGCUAAAUACUCCUGACUGACCGAUAGUGAACCAGUACCGUGAGGGAAAGGCGAAAAGAACCCCUGUGAGGGGAGUGAAAUAGAUCCUGAAACCGCAUGCAUACAAGCAGUGGGAGCACCUUCGUGGUGUGACUGCGUACCUUUUGUAUAAUGGGUCAGCGACUUAUAUUCAGUAGCGAGGUUAACCGUAUAGGGGAGCCGUAGAGAAAUCGAGUCUUAAUAGGGCGUUUAGUUGCUGGGUAUAGACCCGAAACCAGGCGAUCUAUCCAUGAGCAGGUUGAAGGUUGGGUAACACUAACUGGAGGACCGAACCCACUGUCGUUGAAAAGCCAGGGGAUGACUUGUGGAUAGGGGUGAAAGGCUAAUCAAGCCUGGUGAUAGCUGGUUCUCCCCGAAAGCUAUUUAGGUAGCGCCUCGGACGAAUACCAUAGGGGGUAGAGCACUGUUUCGGCUAGGGGGUCAUCCCGACUUACCAAACCGAUGCAAACUCCGAAUACCUAUGAGUACUAUCCGGGAGACAGACUGCGGGUGCUAACGUCCGUAGUCAAGAGGAAAACAAUCCAGACCGCCAGCUAAGGCCCCAAAAUCAUAGUUAAGUGGGAAACGAUGUGGGAAGGCAUAGACAGCUAGGAGGUUGGCUUAGAAGCAGCCACCCUUUAAAGAAAGCGUAAUAGCUCACUAGUCGAGUCGGCCUGCGCGGAAGAUGUAACGGGGCUAAAACUAUGUGCCGAAGCUGCGGAUGUAUACUUUGUAUACGUGGUAGGGGAGCGUUCUGUAAGCCGAUGAAGGUGUGUUGAGAAGCAUGCUGGAGGUAUCAGAAGUGCGAAUGCUGACGUGAGUAACGACAAAACGGGUGAAAAACCCGUUCGCCGAAAGACCAAGGGUUCCAGUCCAACGUUAAUCGGGGCUGGGUGAGUCGACCCCUAAGGCGAGGCCGAAAGGCGUAGUCGAUGGGAAAAUGGUUAAUAUUCCAUUACUUCUGUGUAAUGCGAUGAGAGGACGGAGAAGGCUAAAUCAGCCUGGCGUUGGUUGUCCAGGUGAAAGGAUGUAGGCAUGUAUCUUAGGCAAAUCCGGGGUACUCUAUGCUGAGAUCUGAUAGCAAGCUGUACUUGUACAGCGAAGUGGUUGAUGCCAUGCUUCCAGGAAAAGUCUCUAAGCUUCAGUUACACAGGAAUCGUACCCGAAACCGACACAGGUGGUCAGGUCGAGUAGACCAAGGCGCUUGAGAGAACUCUGCUGAAGGAACUAGGCAAAAUGGUACCGUAACUUCGGGAGAAGGUACGCUGUUGUUGGUGAUGGAACUCGCUUCCUGAGCUGACGACAGCCGCAGAAACCAGGCCGCUGCAACUGUUUAUUAAAAACAUAGCACUCUGCAAACACGAAAGUGGACGUAUAGGGUGUGAUGCCUGCCCGGUGCUGGAAGGUUAAUUGAUGGGGUUAGCGUAAGCGAAGCUCUUGAUCGAAGCCCCAGUAAACGGCGGCCGUAACUAUAACGGUCCUAAGGUAGCGAAAUUCCUUGUCGGGUAAGUUCCGACCUGCACGAAUGGCAUAAUGAUGGCGGCGCUGUCUCCAGCAGAGGCUCAGUGAAAUCGAAAUCGCUGUGAAGAUGCAGUGUACCCGCGGCUAGACGGAAAGACCCCGUGAACCUUUACUGCAGCUUGACACUGAACUUUGACCUUACUUGUGUAGGAUAGGUGGGAGGCUUUGAAGCUGGAACGCUAGUUCCAGUGGAGCCGUCCUUGAAAUACCACCCUGGUAAUGUUGAGGUUCUAACUCUGUCCCGUGAUCCGGGACGAGGACCGUGUCUGGUGGGUAGUUUGACUGGGGCGGUCUCCUCCUAAAGAGUAACGGAGGAGUACGAAGGUGCGCUCAGCGUGGUCGGAAAUCACGCGUAGAGUAUAAAGGCAAAAGCGCGCUUAACUGCGAGACCCACAAGUCGAGCAGGUACGAAAGUAGGUCUUAGUGAUCCGGUGGUUCUGUAUGGAAGGGCCAUCGCUCAACGGAUAAAAGGUACUCUGGGGAUAACAGGCUGAUACCGCCCAAGAGUUCAUAUCGACGGCGGUGUUUGGCACCUCGAUGUCGGCUCAUCUCAUCCUGGGGCUGAAGCAGGUCCCAAGGGUAUGGCUGUUCGCCAUUUAAAGAGGUACGCGAGCUGGGUUUAGAACGUCGUGAGACAGUUCGGUCCCUAUCUACCGUGGGCGCUGGAAAUUUGAGAGGAUCUGCUCCUAGUACGAGAGGACCAGAGUGGACGAACCUCUGGUGUACCGGUUGUGACGCCAGUCGCAUCGCCGGGUAGCUAUGUUCGGAAGGGAUAACCGCUGAAAGCAUCUAAGCGGGAAGCCUACCUCAAGAUAAGAUUUCCCUAGGACUUUAUGUCCUCUAAAGAGCCGUUCGAGACUAGGACGUUGAUAGGUUGGAUGUGGAAGCAUAGUGAUAUGUGAAGCUGACCAAUACUAAUUGCUCGUGAGGCUUGACUAU
rnacentral:rRNA from 1 species